rnacentral:rRNA from 1 species
UACGUAGGGGGCAAGCGUUGUCCGGAAUUCAUUGGGCGUAAAGAGCGUGUAGGCGGCCCGGUAAGUCCGCUGUGAAAGUCCAGGGCUCAACCCUGGGAUGCCGGUGGAUACUGUCGGGCUCGAGUCCGGAAGAGGAGUGUGGAAUUCCUGGUGUAGCGGUGAAAUGCGCAGAUAUCAGGAGGAACACCAAUGGCGAAGGCAGCACUCUGGGACGUGACUGACGCUGAGGAGCGAAAGCGUGGGGAGCGAACAGG